rnacentral:lncRNA from 1 species
CUGCGGCGCUUUUCCUACUCGUUGUAAAUACAAUUUCCCUUACUUCCUAUACAGAGUUUGGCUUCAAAAUUCUGUUAUCAUCUGCAUUUGAAAUCAGCUCAGGGAUACUACCGAAAAAUUAGAAUUGUUUUCCAUCCGGUCAGCACUUAGGAUCUCCUGAAAAUCUUCUACAGGAGGCCUCUGAUUUUCUUUUGAUCAUACAAAACAAGAACUUAGUGUUUUUAUUCUCUUUUUUUUAACCACUUUAUGGAAGAACUUAGUGUUUU